rnacentral:lncRNA from 1 species
GAUAAUAUUUGAGGAAGGAAACGAACUCCUGCUUUUCUACAUCAUCACGAUGAGUGCGUCUCCUUCCAUUUAAGGAUGCGCUCCAGCUCCAGCACUUUGGCUGUUUCUGAAUAUCAGAUCGCUUCCGUCCUGCAGAGCAGCCUCCAGGUGUGAGUGAGACUCAGAGACAGCGUCUUAGAAGAGUGACUGCAGUGAAGAGAGCUAAAAUGAGAGCAAUAAGGCCUACUUUGAAUGGUGCCCAAAGCUGGAAGAGAAUCUCCAGCUGGCCAAGUCUACAAGGAAAGCAGCUCUUCCCUGACCCUUAUGAACUCUAGUGGCUCCAGUACUGCUGGAGUGGCAUGUGGCUGUGUGGAGCCUGUAACAAGCCUAGCAAGACCAUUGAAAAGGAAAACGUGUUUGGGAAACCAUAAAGCCCCUUGAGAAGAUGAUUGUUUUUGAAACAUGAUUCCUACUUGUUCCUGAGAUCUGGUUGAAACUAAAUUACCCAAGUAUUCAUCAUAAAGUGAUCACAGUACUUUGGUACUUGACAUGCAUUGAGAAUGUCUCACACUCUUAGCCAUAAAGUCAGGCAGUCCCAGCAGUAAUCCAUAUCAAGCCAAUUGAAAAGGAAGAGACAUCUAUGAUGCUGAGCCAGUGAGAAACCUGGAGUGCAGGUAAGUGGUGUGAAUGGGCAUUGACACUCCUUCCACAUUGUUCUUUCUUCCUAGACCUCGUGGAGGUGUUCCCAUGACUGGAACCUGGAGCACAGAUGGCUUUGCACCGUAUUCUGGCACCAGAUGGGGUGAGAGAACGUGUUGCUGCUCUUCAUGGUGUCCUUAAGGAAUCUGGCGUCACUCCCUCCUUCUUGCUGCUGUCUCUGGGCCCCACACUAGGUCUUUCUCAUCAGACCUCUCAUCACAGGAAAUGCUCGAGUGUCUGUUGCCUUGGACAACUCUGGAAAUGCAGGUGGAUCUGCCACAGAACAGUCCUCAGCCACUCCUGA